rnacentral:lncRNA from 10 species
UUUGUGUAAAAAUGUAUGGCAGAAAUGUAAGGCCAAUCAGACUCGUAGAAUAAGAGAAACAUUUCACACCUAAAUGGGAAAAAAAGAGAGAGGAUCAAUACUUUUAAAUUUUAUAAAAGAAUCAAUCUAUCCCACUAAUUCUUCCAUUUUUCUUCUUACUGUAUCAGCUCAAGACAACAAAAUCAAACCAUAAAUACAGUGCUUAUUAUAUUCUAAGCUCUGUUUUAAGGACUUUACAUAUUUUGACUUCAAUGUCCCUGCUACUGACCAUUAGAAUGCACUGCCUCUCCAGGCAGGAAAUCUGCUUUAGGGUUUAAGUGGCCCUACCUCAGUUCCACAAUAAAGUAGUUAAUAUUACUUAAAGAUCCUUACUAAUAUUGUACUACAAAAGUUGAUUCAGAUAGCAGAUUAUCAAACAAAACUCUCUAUUAACAAGCACUCCAGUAUAUCUAACAUAAAAUAUUCAAACAUGGGAAAUUCUAUCAGGCUAAGUGCCCAGGAUUAAAACAGCAAAUCACCAGAGAAAUAAAACCAGUGGUUAAAAAACAUAUCGGACGGCCAGGCGCAUUGGCUCAUGCCUGUAAUCCCAGCACUUUGGGAGGCUGAGGCAGGUGGGUCAUUUGAGGUUAGGAGUUCGAGACCAGCCUGGCCAACAUGGUGAAACUCCCAUCUCUACUAACAAUACAAAAAUUAGCUGGGCAUGGUGGCAAGUGCUUGUAAUCCCAGCUAUUCAGGAGGCUGAGGCAGGAAAAUCCUUGAACCCAGGAGGUAGAGGCUGCAGUGAGCCAAGACUGCACACUGCACUCCAGCUUGGGAGACAAAGCGAGACUCCAUCUCAAAAAAAAAAAACAGAAACAUAUGGGAAAGGUAUUCAAUUUCUUUAGUAAGGAAAGACAUUCAAGUUAAAACAAUGAGAUAAGCAGCCUGGCCAGCAUGGCGAAAUCCUGUCUCUACUAAAAAUACAAAAAUUAGCCAGGCUUGGUGGCAUGCACCUAUAAUCCCAGCUACUGGGGGUGCUGAGGCAGGAGAAUUGCUUGAACCUGGGAGGUGGAGGUUGCAGUGAGCCCAGAUUGUGCCACUGCACUCCAGCCUGGGCAACAAGAGCAAAACUCCGUCUCAAUAAAUAAAUAAUAAAAAAUACAAAAAAAACACUGAGAUACCAUUUUUACCUAUUACCUUAGAAAGAUUAAAAAUAAAUGACUUCUAGCAGAGUGCAGUGGCUCAUGCCUGUAAUCUCAGCACUUUGGAAGGUGUAGGCAGAAGGACUGCUUGAGACCAGUUUGAGACCAGCCUAGGCACCAUAGGAAGACCUGUCUCUACAAAAAAAAUUUUUUUUAAUUAGCCAAGGCUGGUCUGAUGGUAAUGAGUUAUCAGAACUUAACACUGGCAUCACUAAAGUUGGUAUACAAUGUCCCCACUGCUAAAUUUGACUAGCUUAAAAAAAAAAAAAUCAGCCAGGUGUAGUGGCACAUGUCUGUAGUCCUAGCUAUUUGGGAGGCUGAGGUGGGAGGAUCACUCGAGCCCACAAGUUUGAAGUUGCAGUGAACUAUGAUCACACCACUGCACUCCAGCCUAGAUGACAGAGACCCUGUCUCUAAAAAAUAAAAAUUAUUUUUAAAAAAUGGCUUCUAAACUGUAUACUUCAAAAUGAUUAAAGUGAAAAAUUUUAUGUUUAUCUAACCACAAUAAAAAAUGACUUAAAAUGUAAAUUUACCUUACCUUUAAUUUAUAAUUUUAAUACGAUCCUAAUAAAAAAUACCAUCUGUUUGGAAAAUAAAGUUGAGAUCCUAAACAAGUUGAUUAUAAAGUUUAUUUGGAAAAACAAAAGCAGCAAAAAAUAAAAAAAUAAAGCAAUGAGGGGAAGUUACCCCUUCGAAAUAUUAAAACAUAAUAGAGGCCGGGCGUGGUGGCUCACGCCUGUAAUCCCAAUACUUUGGGAGGCCGAGGUGGGUGGGUUACUUGAAGUGAGGAGUUCAAGACCAGCCUGACCAACAUGGUGAAACCCUGUCUCUACUAAAAAUACAAAAAUUGGCCAAGUGUGGUGGUGCAUACCUGUAAUCCCAGCAGGAGGCUGAGCCAGGAGAAUCGCUUGAACAUGGGAGGCGAAGAGUAUGGUGAACCAAGAUCAUGCCACUGCACUCCAGCCUGGACAACAGAGUGAGACUCUGUCUCAAAUAAAAAUC